rnacentral:misc_RNA from 1 species
UCCGGUUUGGCACCGGCAGUCUCCUCAGAGUUCCCGGCAUGACCCGCUGGCAACUGAGGACAGGGGUUGCGCUCGUUGCGCCACUUAAGGCACCACCUGUGAUGGUGUCCCGAAGGAAAGGUGUGUUUCCACACCGGUCACCAACAUGUCAAGCCCAGGUAAGGUUCUUCGCGUUGCAUCGAAUUAAAGAACAUGCUCCGCUGCUUGUGCGGGCCCCCGUCAAUUCUUUUGAGUUUUAGCCUUGCGGCCGUACUCCCCAGGCGGAACACUUAACGCGUUGGCUGCGGCACAGGAGGAUUCGACUCCCCCCACACCUAGUGUUCAUCGUUUACGGCGUGGACUAC